CCUACGGGUGGCAGCAGUGGGGAAUAUUGCACAAUGGGCGAAAGCCUGAUGCAGCAACGCCGCGUGAGCGAUGAAGGCCUUCGGGUCGUUAAGCUCUGUCCUCAAGGAAGAUAAUGACGGUACUUGAGGAGUAAGCCCCGGCUAACUACGUGCCAGCAGCCGCGGUAAUACGUAGGGGGCUAGCGUUAUCCGGAAUUACUGGGCGUAAAGGGUGCGUAGGUGGAUUCUUAAGGCAGAGGUGAAAGGUUACGGCUCAACCGUAGUAAGCCUUUGAAACUGGGGAACUUGAGUGGGGGAGAGGUGUGUGGAAUUCGUGGUGUAGCGGUGAAAUGCGUAGAUAUUAGGGGGAACUCCAGCUGCGAAGGCGGCUCUCUGGACUGUAACUGACGCUGAAGCACGAAAGCGUGGGGAGCAAACAGGAUUAGAUACCCCAGUAGUC
rnacentral:rRNA from 1 species